CUGGGCAGAAACUGGAGAAAAGUUAACAGAUGCUGGAAAUCCAAAGCAACACACACAAACUGCCGGAGCAACUCAGCAGGCCAGGCAGCAUCCAUGGAAGAGUAUACCUGCUGAAGGGUCUCGGCCCGAAACGUCGACUAGAGUCUUGUCCGUAGACGCUGCCUGGCCUGGCAUUUUGUGCAGAGAAACGGGCUCACUCUCUCACUAACAAAGGAGAGACAGAUAUGGCUUCCACAGCGAGAGGAGGGACUAACAGUCGCUGCUUUGAUGUUACAGUCAAUCCAUUCCAAUUGCUGGAGGUGCAAGUUCAUAUGAUCACCUGGGAGGUAAUGAAACACACUUUGGAAUUGGAAUCUGAGGACAAUGCACAAUUAAUGAUGAAGAUGAAUUUCUCUGAUUUCUGCUGCACUUUGCCUCCUUGCUUCCCUCUGCUCUCAAUUGCAGUUCUUCACAGUCACACCUUUUUAUAUUAAAGGUUAUAUUCAUGCUUUUAAUGUGAAAGUAAGCAAUCACGGGAAAAUUUAAUUGGAUUCAAUUAACAUGGCUAUUCACAAUGGUCGCAUGGCAGGGUGGAGAUACGUCUCUACCAAAGGAAAUGUAAGGAAUUUCUCCUUUUUGCUAGCCUGCAGGUCACCCUUGGGUAAGGUAUAGCAUCUGCUCAGCACCUCCCUCCCGGAUUAGAGUCUUAUAAGCAGUUAGAGUAAGUGGUGGAUGGUCAUAUGAGCAGUUGGGGCAUAUCACAAGCCCUGGUUUUGUGACCACUGAUGCCAGGCAGACAAUCUCUGAAUGGUAAUGAUAAUGGCUGGGGUCACCUGCCUUGUAAAGACACUGCCCAGAAGAAGGCAACGGCAAACCACCUUGGUAGAAAUAUUGGCCAAGAGCAAUUGUGGUCAAAAGACUGUGAUCUCCCAUGUCAUUUGACACGGCACAUGAUGAUUCAUAGUGGUAUAUAUGCAAACCCUCCGCAAAACAAUUUAUUGGGACAAGGCACUGCUCUCAUCUCUUUACAGUCAUCACUGUGUGGCUCAGUACGGCUCAAACACUAUCUCCGGAUUCACUGAUGAACUGUGAUAGUGUGAAAAGACGGCAUGGUCCAGGAGGCAGGGACCUUUGAUGAUAAAUAUUACUCAGCAUUACUAUCAAUGCAUGCUUGAAAAGUUACUACAAAUAGUUUCACUAACUUUAUAGUUAGAAAUGGGCAAAAUAGGUAAUAGAAACUCUACACGAAGCCAAAUCCAUCCAGAAACGAACGAUAAACAAUGCAAAUUCAUCAAUAUAUUCAAAAAGCACCUAAAUACUAGAAUUUCAUGAAAACACAAUCAGGAAAAUGCUAGAGCAAAAAGCUGGAAUUCAGAUCUUAUGGUAGCGUAGUGAUUAGCACAACACUUUACAGUGCAGGCAAUUAGGGUCAAUUCCUGCUGCUGCCUAAUGGGAGUUUGUAGGUUGUCCCCGUGAGCAUGUGUGUUUCUUUUCAAUGCUCCAGUUUCCUCCCACAGUCCAAAGAUAUACUAGUGGUAGGUUAAUUAGUGAUUAUAAAAUUGUCUCAUGAUUAAGCUAGAGUUAAAUCAAGGGAUUGCUGGGCUGCGCAGUUUGAAGGGCGCAGUAUCUCAAUAAAUAAAUAAACAAACUUUCUCUUGAGUGUUGCUCAAGAUUUCCAGCAUCUGCAGAACCACUUGUGUCUCUGGCUACUUUGAGGAGUUCUUCCUUUAAUCUUUAACACUAAAGGUCCUAAUUUAACCCUCCCUGUUUCACACUAUCUAUCCAAGCAUUUUAGGUGAAAAUUAUAGUUACAUGCUUACUGCUAAUGAGGACUUAUCUAUCACCACUUCAAUCUUGCCCUUUUGAGAGAUGGUAAAUGCACCAAUUCCAGAUGGGUAGGUUUCUAGACAUAAUUGAAUAGGGCCAUAUUCAAAGAUUUAGACUCCAAUGCAAAUGAUACCAGUAACAAUGCUGCCUGAAAAACAGCAAACAGAUCCUGUUCCAUAAAAGUCAGCAAAUAUUAAUUUUUUUUGUCAUUUUUGGGAGCUGUCCAUCUUCAAGGAUCAACGUCACUCACCAUUUACAAGUAUCAGGAAUUUGCUGUAGUGUGUUGGUCAGGGCACAACAUGCAACAAAAAACAGCAUUCAACAACUAUAAAGAAUUAUAUAAAGUACUGGAAAGUUGAGGUUGGAGUAUGGAUAUGGAAUGAGAUGUCCUUUAGUACGUAAAUACCAGCAUGGAAACAGUAUUAUAAAAAUUGAUUUAAAGUGUUUACAGCACAGUGCAGUGACGGGGGCAAUAGAUAGAGGGAGGUGGGGGCUAACUGGAGUGACUGAUCAGAAUAACUGAUUGGGGGAAGAAACUUCUAAGAUGGCAUGAAGUUUAUACCUUAAUAGCCCCAUAGUGUUUUACCAAAGGAAGCUUUUAUAAAAGCUUUUAUUUUGCAGGAGGGUAGGUCCUGCAAUGAUUUCUCCUGCCUCCUUCUUGGUCCUGGACACAUACAAUUCCUGCAGCGAGGGCAGACUACAGCCAAUGACCUUCUCUGCUGACCUGAAAUAAAGCUCUAGUUUCAAUGACUGGACCAGUCAAAUGUCUCUUCUUUAUUUCUCCCAUCACCGAUGGAAAGCCCACAGAGUUGAAGUAAAUCAUAGGCACAAGAAAUUCUGCAGAUGUUGGAAAUACAAAGCAACACACGUUAAAUACUAGAGGAACUCAGCAGGUCGGGCAGCACUUACAUUGCUCUUUGAAGUAAAUGUACAAGACAUAGUAGAAAACACUGGAGAACUGUGCUCUUUGAGUUCUGUAACUGAGAGCCAACAAUAAAUAAUCUUUAUACAGCUAUGGUGGAUGUUAUCUAACAGGACAGGAUUUGAAGUCACACCCUUGAUGCGAUCUUUAUUGUUUCAAAAUUGAUCUGCUGGAACAUUGCCUUCUCAAAUGAUUGCAUCCUCUGAGUGAUGUAAUAGCCUGCAUGGAAGAAGUGUCAGUAGAAAUUAUGAAUGAAUUGGUUCAAGUUUUAUUAAAAGUACUGAUACCCUUUUUUUUUACAACUUUGCUUCAUUAUCAUUUUAGAAGAUUUUGUAUCUUCUACAAACAUAAAGCAAGGCAGUAUUCAGAUCCACUCAGUGCAGGCAUUUUUCUUUCUGUAUUUCUAAGUAAUUUUUCUCUGCAAAUACUACAUGAUGAUGUAUUUUGCUUCUUAGACAUUAAGUUCUUGCUACUUUUCAAAAUAACUUUUUCUCCCUCUUUGUAAUUAAAUCA